rnacentral:rRNA from 1 species
UACGGAGGAUCCAAGCGUUAUCCGGAAUCAUUGGGUUUAAAGGGUCCGUAGGCGGGCUUGUAAGUCAGUGGUGAAAUCUCCCGGCUCAACCGGGAAAUUGCCAUUGAUACUGCAGGUCUUGAAUUACCAGGAAGUAACUAGAAUAUGAUAGUGUAGCGGUGAAAUGCUUAGAGAAUUACAUGGAAUACCAAUUGCGGAAGGCAGGUUACUACUGGUGGGAUUGACGCUGAUGGACGAAAGCGUGGGUAGCGAACAGGAAUUAGACGUUACCCGUU